GACGAACGCUGGCUGCGUGCUUAACACAUGCAAGUCGAACGCUGAAGCCCGCAGCUUGCUGUGGGUGGAUGAGUGGCGAACGGGUGAGUAACACGUGAGUAACCUGCCCCUGACUUCGGGAUAAGCCCGGGAAACUGGGUCUAAUACCGGAGACGACCAUCGGACGCAUGUCUGGUGGUGGAAAGUUUUUUCGGUUGGGGAUGGGCUCGCGGCCUAUCAGUUUGUUGGUGAGGGAAUGGCUCACCAAGAAGAAGACGGGUAGCCGGCCUGAGGUGGCGACCGGCCACACUGGGACUGAGACACGGCCCAGACUCCUACGGGAGGCAGCAGUGGGGAAUAUUGCACAAUGGGGGAAACCCUGAUGCAGCGACGCAGCGUGCGGGAUGACGGCCUUCGGGUUGUAAACCGCUUUCAGCGGGGAAGAAGCGAAAGUGACGGUACCUGCAGAAGAAGUACCGGCUAACUACGUGCCAGCCGCCGCUGUAA
rnacentral:rRNA from 1 species